UACGUAGGGUGCGAGCGUUGUCCGGAAUUAUUGGGCGUAAAGAGCUUGUAGGCGGUUUGUCGCGUCUGCUGUGAAAAUCCGGGGCUCAACCCCGGACGUGCAGUGGGUACGGGCAGACUGGAGUGUGGUAGAGGAGACUGGAAUUCCUGGUGUAGCGGUGGAAUGCGCAGAUAUCAGGAGGAACGCCGGUGGCGAAGGCGGGUCUCUGGGCAGUAACUGACGCUGAGGAGCGAAAGCGUGGGGAGCGAACAGG
rnacentral:rRNA from 1 species